CUACUGGGGUAUCUAAUCCUGUUUGCUACCCACGCUUUCGCACCUCAGUGUCAGUGUCAGUCCAGAAGGCCGCCUUCGCCACUGGUAUUCCUCCCGAUCUCUACGCAUUUCACCGCUACACCGGGAAUUCUACCUUCCUCUCCUGCACUCUAGCUUGACAGUUCCGGAUGCCGUUCCCAGGUUGAGCCCGGGGCUUUCACAACCGGCUUAUCAAGCCACCUACGCGCGCUUUACGCCCAGUAAUUCCGAUUAACGCUUGCACCCUCCGUAUUACCGCGGCUGCUGGCAC
rnacentral:rRNA from 1 species